GUUUAAGCGAUUCUCAUGCCUCAGCCUCCCAGUAGCUGGGAUUAGAGGCAUGUGCCAUCAUACCCAGCUAAUUUUUGUAUUUUUUAUUUUUUUUUUUUAGUAGAGACAGGGUUUCGCAAUGUUGGCCAGGCCGAUCUCGAACUUCUGGCCUCUAGCGAUCUGCCCGCCUCGGCCUCCCAAAGUGCUGGGAUGACCAGCAUCAGCCCCAAUGUCCAGCCUCUUUAACAUCUUCUUUCCUAUGCCCUCUCUGUGGAUCCCUACUGCUGGUUUCUGCCUUCUCCAUGCUGAGAACAAAAUCACCUAUUCACUGCUUAUGCAGUCGGAAGCUCCAGAAGAACAAAGAGCCCAAUUACCAGAACCACAUUAAGUCUCCAUUGUUUUGCCUUGGGAUUUGAGAAGAGAAUUAGAGAGGUGAGGAUCUGGUAUUUCCUGGACUAAAUUCCCCUUGGGGAAGACGAAGGGAUGCUGCAGUUCCAAAAGAGAAGGACUCUUCCAGAGUCAUCUACCUGAGUCCCAAAGCUCCCUGUCCUGAAAGCCACAGACAAUAUGGUCCCAAAUGACUGACUGCACCUUCUGUGCCUCAGCCGUUCUUGACAUCAAGAAUCUUCUGUUCCACAUCCACACAGCCAAUACAAUUAGUCAAACCACUGUUAUUAACAGAUGUAGCAACAUGAGAAACGCUUAUGUUACAGGUUACAUGAGAGCAAUCAUGUAAGUCUAUAUGACUUCAGAAAUGUUAAAAUAGACUAACCUCUAACAACAAAUUAAAAGUGAUUGUUUCAAGGUGAUGCAAUUAUUGAUGACCUAUUUUAUUUUUCUAUAAUGAUCAUAUAUUACCUUUGUAAUAAAACAUUAUAACCAAAA
rnacentral:lncRNA from 1 species